rnacentral:rRNA from 1 species
GAUGAACGCUGGCGGCGUGCCUAAUACAUGCAAGUCGAGCGAACAGACGAGGAGCUUGCUCCUCUGACGUUAGCGGCGGACGGGUGAGUAACACGUGGAUAACCUACCUAUAAGACUGGGAUAACUUCGGGAAACCGGAGCUAAUACCGGAUAAUAUAUUGAACCGCAUGGUUCAAUAGUGAAAGACGGUUUUGCUGUCACUUAUAGAUGGAUCCGCGCCGCAUUAUCUAGUUGGUAAGGUAACGGCUUACCAAGGCGACGAUGCGUAGCCGACCUGAGAGGGUGAUCGGCCAAACUGGAACUGAGCAACGGUCCAGACUCCUACGGGAGGCAGCAGUAGGGAAUCUGCCGCAAUGGGCGAAAGCCUGACGGAGCAACGCCGCGUGAGUGAUGAAGGUCUUCGGAUCGUAAAACUCUGUUAUUAGGGAAGAACAAAUGUGUAAGUAACUAUGCACGUCUUGACGGUACCUAAUCAGAAAGCCACGGCUAACUACGU